UACAGAGGGGGCAAGCGUUGUUCGGAAUUACUGGGCGUAAAGCGCGCGUAGGCGGCUUUGCAAGUCGGGUGUGAAAUCCCCAGGCUUAACCUGGGAACUGCAUUCGAGACUGCAUUGCUAGAGUAUGGGAGAGGGAAGUGGAAUUUCCGGUGUAGCGGUGAAAUGCGUAGAUAUCGGAAGGAACAUCAGUGGCGAAAGCGACUUCCUGGACCAAUACUGACGCUCAUGUGCGAAAGCGUGGGGAGCAUACAGG
rnacentral:rRNA from 1 species